CUACGGAGGGAGCAAGCGUUAUUCGGAAUCACUGGGCGUAAAGGACGCGUAGGCGGGUUUGUAAGUCAGGUGUGAAAUCCUACAGCUCAACUGUAGAACUGCACUUGAGACUACAGACCUAGAGUAUGGAAGGGGCAGAUGGAAUUAGUGGUGUAGGGGUAAAAUCCGUAGAUAUCACUAGGAAUACCGAAAGCGAAGGCGAUCUGCUGGGACAUUACUGACGCUGAGGCGUGAAAGCGUGGGGAGCAAACAGGAUUAGAAACCCCAGUAGUCC
rnacentral:rRNA from 1 species